rnacentral:lncRNA from 1 species
CUUGUGUACAAUUUGGAAAUAAGUAUGGCGUUCAUUAUCACUGGACUAGUAUAUAUUUGUUUAGGGGACAGCUGAAGGACGCCUCCGGGUGCGGGAAUUUCUCGCUACAUUGAAGACCUGUUGGUGACCCUCUGCUGUUGUUUUUUAUUUGGGCGGGUUGUUGUCUCUUUGACACAUUCCCCAUUUCCAUUCUCAAUUUUAUGCUUAUUUUGGGCCCCCUUUUUAGCACCUAAUUCCUAAACCUUUGGGACCAUAACCCCCAAAAACACAAGUUAAU